rnacentral:lncRNA from 1 species
GAAAGUAUUUUACUUUUGCAAACUUCACAAAAUCUACAACUGUGUGAAAGUGUCAGGGUCCUUCCCAGGGCAUUAGAAGGAGCCCACGCAGGAGAGGAACCCUCCACGAGGGGGCUGUGAAGCUUGAAUUUCAUUUGCUUCAUGGUAAACCUACCUUUCACGGUGCUAAAUGAAUGAUCUAAACCUUCAUCACAGGGCUCAUGUGAUUCUAUGGGACCCACCUGGAUAACCCAGAAUGCUCUUCAUCUUAAGAUCCUUGACUCAACCACAUCUGCAAAAUCCCUUCCUCCGUGUACGAUACUCUCCCACAGUCAAGGCAGGUCUUCGUACACUACGGUAAUGACUGAGCAGAUGAAUGGAUGGAUGGACAAUGAGACAGUGCUGUGUGGUCGAUAAGCCCAGGUCUAUCAAGUCUUGGCUCCGUCAAUAACAGCUCUAUGACUUUGGGC